GUGAGUCGACAAGUCGGAGUUGGAAGAGCUGGAUAUGUAGGUGAGAGGCUUGCCAGCUGAGGUGCGGGAUACGGCAACAAAGAUCUCGUACGCGGUGGCUCGCAGGUCGGAAUCGGUGAGCUGGGAUGAGAGUUGGCCGAGUGGAGACUCGAGAUCGGAGGCAGUUAGUUUAGAAGGCAUUGUUGGUGGCGGUUGGAGAGGCGAUGGUGUUGACUCUCUCUUGGAAUGGCCUAAUG
rnacentral:misc_RNA from 1 species